CCAAGCUUUGGAGCCAUUACCAGGGAUUGUUCGAGCCUGGACAUCACAAUUUCGUGCACCAGGUAUUAUGGUGGAAAAUUGCUGAGUGCAGUGGACCAGGACGCAAACAACUAUUUUUUUUUUAUCAUAGCAUACGAUGUUGUCCCUAAUGAAUGUAAGGAUACCUGGAAGUGGUUCCUAACGCUGUUGCAAGAUGACUUGGGGCUGGUGACGCAGCAUGGAUGGAAUUUUAUAAGUGAUCAGCAGAAGGUAAUUCAAUUAGGCCGUUUGUUCUCUUUUUUAUGAAAAAUGCAAGUGAUAUCUAAACUGUUAAACUGUUUCUGUAUGUCUAACACUUGCAGGGGCUAGAAUUAGCUAUCAAGGAAGUAAUGCCUAAUGCACACCAUCGAAAUUGUGUGCUACAUUUUUGGAAAAACUUUAUCAAGCAUUUCAAGGACCAACAAACAAAGCAAAUGGUAUGGGAAUGUGCAAGAUGCACAACUUUUCAAGAAUUCAAUGCAUGCAUGGAGAAAAUGAAGAAAAUCAAUCAUGGUGCAUGGGAGUAUUUACAGUGAGUUGAUCCGGUAGUGUGGACUAAAGCUUAUUUCAGUCAUGGUCCGAAGGUGGAUAAUAUAACCAACAACAUGUGUGAGGUGUGGAACGCAAAGAUCGUAGAGUAUCGGGGGAAGCCAAUCUUAACGAUGUGUGAAGACUUGAGAUGCUAUUUAAUGAGAAAAAUGGCAACACACAAGAAGAAGCUAGAGAGUCACAGCGGUCACUUGGCACCAGUACAGCAGAAGAAAAUGGACAAGUUUGUGAAGCCUAAAGCUAACAAGUGGAGAGCCAUUUGGGCUGGAGACAACGAUAGGGUGCACUUUGAGGUUCACAGAGGAACAAGUAAGGUUGGAGUUAACCUUCAACAAAGGACCUGCACUUGUAAUGUUUGGGAACUUACUGGUAAAAUUGUUUAUUAAUCCAUCAUUAUUUGAGUUAUUGUAACUUAUGUGUUAUUUUUUACUUUGCUUUAUUGGGGUGUUGUGACAUUGAUUUGUACAUCAUUCAUAUAACCUUGUGGAUUGCAUGUCUGGAUUGUGCUUCUUGUUAGGCAUGCCUUGCUGUCAUGCUAUUGCAGCAAUGUAUAAAAUUGGUUUGAAGCCAGAGGAGCAUGUGCAUAAAUGGCUCACCAUGUAAUCAAUCAGAGCAACAUAUAUGCAUUGCAUCAAACCAGUAAACUUAGAGGAGUACUGGACCCCAUGUGAUGCUCCAAGGACGGAACCACCUAACAUCAAGAGACCAGCUCAUCGCCCCAAGAUGAAGAGGAAGGUAGAUCCUGUAAAACCUGAGAUGCACGCCACUAAAGCCAAGAAAACCUUUGAAGUGACGUGCAACAACUGUGGACAGCUUGGGCAUUACUACAAGACAUGCAAGAAUGACCUAAAAUAUCCAAACUGACAGCCAUUGACAAAGAAGGAGAGAAGAGCUGCCAAGGGGAAGGGGUUGCACAUUGUACUCUUUGACCCAAACCAGAACAGAGGCCAGGUAAUUGGGGUUCGAUUUGGAACACAAUAUUAAAUGUUAAGGGUUUAAGAGGCACGUCUUAAAAUUGUGGGGGAUUUAUGUGUCUCAUUUAAAAAUUGUGAGGGGUUUAUGUGUCUCAUUAUUGGUUGUUAUUAUGAUUAGGAUGUAGGACCUAAUGUCAAUCUGAACAAUGAUACUGUACAACCUGCCCCACCUAUGGAUCCACUGGUUAUAUCUUUUAACCUGCUCCUUAUCUCUAUUGUUGUUUAGAUGACAGAUUAGACUCUCCUUGCACUAACAUGUUUAUACUACUGUGACGGACAAAGGCAAAGAAGAACAAGAAGAAACUUCCAAAGAUAAUGCAUAAGAAGGGUAAUUCUGACCAACAGGAAUAGGGAGAAGAAAUUACCCUUUCACAAAAUGCACCCCAGGCAGAUGAGGUUGCAAGAGAGGCUAUGAACCUGAAUUAGCCACCCCCACAACCCUGCUCCACCCCCAAUCUUAGUCAUGCACAGAGAAGAAAGCACCCUGUUGUUAGGCCCCUGACUACUCCUAUCUCGGCUCCACCUUUAUUUGGACAACCUAGUCCACCACCAGUUCAAGCAGCAUCAGGUCUUAGACCAUGUGUUCCAACCAGUCAGACUGUGAACCCGAGGACAACAACUGCUAAUGUCCCCCUUCAACAAAGUGUUAUUUCUACUGAGACCAUGGCUGCAGCAAGUUCUGGGACUGCAACAAGGCUUUUCAAGUUCAUUCCUACCCCUAGGUUUAGACCUCCGAGGAAGACUUGAUUUUUGAUAUGUUGCUGUUGACAUAGAUGAUAAGAAUGACUCCUUUUGUUAUUAGUUUGGUAUCAAUGUUUACAAAUAUGGAAAAUACUUUGGUUUAUCUAAGUGUUUGGGUCAUGUUUAAGUCAUUUUGAAACUCUAUUAGACUGAUGUGAAAGAUGUUUAAGUCAGUUUGAAACUUAACAAAUUUAGGAAAUACUUUGGUUCAAGGCUACAUGUUGGCCUUCUUUUUGUUAUUAAAGGGCUAUAAGUUGUCCCUUUCUCAUGCUGAACAAGGACAUGAUUGGAUGUUUUGUGUAAAUGUUUUAUAUAAGGCAUCUUUUGGG